rnacentral:rRNA from 1 species
GACGAACGCUGGCGGCGUGCCUAAUACAUGCAAGUCGAACGCAGUGGGGACGGGUGAGUAACACGUGGGUAACCUCCCAUCAGAGGGGAUAAAACAUGGAAACAGGUGCUAAACCGAUACUGAUGGAUGGACCCGCGGUGCAUUAGCGAGGUGGUGAGGUAACGGCUAACCAAGGCCACGAUGCAUAGGCGACCUUAGAGGGUGAUCGGCCACUCGGGGACUUAGACACGGCCCAGACUCCUACGGGAGGCAGCAGUAGGGAAUCUUCGGCAAUGGACGAAAGUCUGACCGAGCAACGCGGCGUUAGUGAAGAAGGUUUUCGGAUCGUAAAACUCUGUUGUUAGAGAAGCGGUAUCUAACCAGAAAGCCACGGCUAACUACGUGCCAGCCGCCGCGGUAAUAC